rnacentral:lncRNA from 1 species
CAGAGACUAAACUUGGCAGUGAGAGUAUUUUAUGGCAUAUAACUAACAGCUCCGCUAAGAGGAGAAUUUCAAGUAUUUUACUGUUAAGGGAAGAAGCAUAACGAAGGGAGUGAAGAACAUUUUCAUUAUGUCAGGCAGUAAAAACAAACCAUAAGAGACUGCCUACAGCAGUGGUUUCAGACCUGUGGCUUAACAGCAACCUCUUGCCUGCCAAACUUUCAGAUAUUGCUGGUGGCCACAGAGAGCUGCUGUCAGGCUGGAAAUUGAUGGGGAAGGCGAAGUAUAACAUCAUACAGAGGAUAUUACUUCUCACUCCUGUUGCUCUCAAAUCAGCAAAAAAAUGGAAGGCACUGGCAAACAGUUGCAAGAGUGGAAGCUUGGGUUUAUGUCAUAUUCAGAGACCCGGGAGCGAAAACUGAAGAUGGAACCCUCUCUCCUUCCAAGUGGAGGACUCCUGUUGGUAGCUGGAUCAGCUCGACUCUUCCAUGCCAAAACAGGACCAGUGAGCAGCUUUUCAGGGAUUUUCAGGGAUUCUCAACCCAAAACCCAACUAUUCCUGCCAUGCCCAUUUACUAGAAACUCGAUCAAUAAAAAAACGUUUCUUCUCCAGACAAAUAUGUGACAGAGAAAAAUUAUUAUCUUUUCUAAGAAAAUUUUGUACAAGCAGGCAGUACUAAAUAAUCUCUUGGAGACUGAUGUCCUUUUAAUCCUAAGUUAGCUGCAAGGCAAAUCAAGUAAUAUGAGCUUUCUCCACAAACACAAACAAUUGUGAAGCAUACACAGCCCUUGCCAUGGAGCUGUAUAGUGCUCUAUCCUAAAGAAAUGUCGGGUACCAAUUCUGCAUAUUGCACUUACAGUGUACUGAAAAGCUUUAUAAGAAUGUUACAAAGCAAUUAAGGAGAAAUCACAUUCAGGCCUUGCCCCUAGAGACCCCAGCACAUUUCCCAACAUCCACCAAAUAGGGUUGGUGAUGCCAGAUCUACAGCUGCCAAAGCAUUAUUUUUUCCUAGGCAUCUUGCCCCAGUCAGUGUUAUCACACUGGGUGUUUUGGAGACUCAAUAGCCUGAUCUGUCUCAGAGGAACCUUAAUGUUUCUGGGAAAUCUGGAUGUCUCUUUACUUGGUGCUUCUGGUAGAGGAAAAAAAGAGAGAGGAAAAAAAAAGUCCCCAUUAUUUUCUUCCCAUAACUACCCCACUUCUGAGCACAUUCCUGAUCCCCCACUGACAAGCAGAUUAACUUGAUGCAGUGGCAGCAUGAAUGAAAAAUUACUAUGUCCCGAGCCUUGCAGCUAAGACCUUCCUUGUUAAACCGUACAGAAAAUAUUUACACAAUACUACGCUUAAAAUGUACAGCAAAAGAAGCAGAGUAGAUCUGUACCUUUGUAGGGCUGGUGGUUGCACUCUGCUGUUUCAGGAUCUGUGCUGAGAUAAAGUGACGGGGAGUUUUAUAACGCAGUAACCAACUUGCCUCCUGCCUUCAGCACCAGUGCUCAGCAUUGGCCAAAGCCCGUGGAGCCAUG